GGGGUGAUGAGCCUAAAGCUAGAAAUUGAAGGGGUGAUGGUGAAUGUAGUCAGUGGGUAUGCGCCACAAGUUGGCUGUGAGUUAGAAGAGAAGGAGAGAUUCUGGAGUGAGUUUGAUGAGGUCAUAGAGAGUAUCCCCAGAGGAGAGAGAGUUGUUGUUGGAGCAGACUUCAAUGGGCAUGUUGGUGAGGGCAACAGAGGUGAUGAGGAGGUGAUGGGCAGGUUUGGUGUAAAAGAAAGGAAUCUGGAAGGACAGAUGGUGGUGGACUUUGCUAAGAGGAUGGAAAUGGCUGUAGUCAACACUUACUUCCAGAAGCGAGAGGAACAUAGAGUGACAUACAGAAGUGGAGGUAGGAGUACGCAGGUGGACUACAUCCUAUGUAGACGAGGUCAUUUGAGAGAGGUUAGUGACUGCAAAGUGGUGGUAGGAGAGAGUGUAGCCAGACAGCACUGCAUGGUGGUGUGUAAGAUGACUCUGGAGGUCAGGAAGAAGAAGAGAGGGAAGACAGAAAAGAAGACCAAGUGGUGGAAGCUAAAGAAUGAAGAAACUUGUGAGGAAUUCAGGCAGAAGUUGAGACGGGUUCUGGGUGGUCAGGAUGAGCUUCCAGAUGACUGGGAAACUACAGCAGAAGUUAUCAGGGAAACAGGAAGGAAGGUGCUAGGUGUGUCAUCUGGAAAGAGGAAAGAAGGUAAAGACACUUGGUGGUGGAAUGAGGAAGUACAGGAAUGUGUCCAGAGCAAGAGGUUGGCUAGAAGGAAGUGGGAUGUAGAAAGGACUGAGGAAAGUAGACAGGAGUACAAGGAAGCGCAGCGUAGAGUGAAGAGGGAGGUGGCAAAGGCCAAACAGAAAGCUUACGAUGAGCUGUAUGACAUGUUAGACAGAGAUGGAAAGGUACUAACAACCCAGGAGAGUGUGCAGAAAAGAUGGAAGGAGUAUUUUGAGGAGCUGAUGAAUGAGGAAAAUGAGAGGGAAAGAAGAGAGGAAGAUGUGGAUGUUGUGGAGCAGGAAACAGCAGA
rnacentral:lncRNA from 1 species